rnacentral:lncRNA from 1 species
CGCAGGCUACUGUCUGGCCUAUGCCAUAAUAAUAUCUCAUAGCCUAAUUAACCUCUGGAGUGGCACUCGCGGGGCGCUACCCCAACCGAGUAUAGUAUUACUGUCAAACUCAAAAUAGGAUGUAGACUGUAGUCAAAUACGAUUAUCAAAUAGAUCAUAACAAUACUGUCAUAGUAUCCCAAAUACAAUUAUAAUCCCACACUAUCUGUCACUCCUAAAAAUAUGCAUAUCUUAAUAAACUCUACAGCUAGGUGUUAAAAUACUAUUAUUAUCUCAACUAUGUCAAUAGUUCAUCUUAUAGGCUAAAUAAUAUUAUAUAGACAUAAAAGUUAGUCCGCCAAUUUUGACAACACGGAAUCCACCUAUAUCGCAAAUUCAAGGAACAAAACGAUCAUCGGGAUAGUGAGAUGAUAAGCUACUGCUCCCCUAGCCUGAACGAUAGCCACGAAAUCAGCUCCUAAAACAUAUAAAAAAUAGUUUCUAACACUUAAUUUUUACCAUAAAUUCAUCAAAAGAGUCUAAACGAAACAAAUAACAAUAUUAUGAUACUAACUGCGACGUCGAAACACCG